UUAGAGAAGCAACAGGCGAGACUGAUUCACCCGAAACGGUUAUUACAGCUGCAGUCAUCAACUCUUAACUCUGUGAAACCGCAUAGAUCUCGGCUGGAAACAUGGGCAGUGCAUAUAAGGACGAUCAAGAAGACUGGAUGACGGUGUGUCUGAAAUACCUUCUCUUUGUCUUCAACUUCCUCUUCUGGAUGGGUGGAGGUGCAGUGUUAGGGGUGGGGAUCUGGACUCUGAUAGAUAAAGGAGAUUACCUGAACCUGCUGGCGUCCAGUACCUUUGCGGUGUCAGCCUACAUCCUCAUACUGGCUGGCGGACUGGUGAUGGUCACUGGUUUCCUGGGCUGCUGUGCGGUCAUCCGUGAGCAGCGGACCUGCCUGUCCACGUACUUCUCCUGUUUGCUGUUAAUCUUCCUGAUCGAGCUGGUGGCUGGAGUCCUGGCCUAUGUGUAUUACCAAAAGUUGAGUGAGGAGCUGAAACAGCAUCUGACUCAGACGAUGACUGAGAACUAUGCCCAGCCAGGGAAGGAUCCCAUCACUCAGGCUGUGGAUCGGCUGCAGCAGGACUUUAAGUGCUGUGGCAGUAACAACUCGUUUGAUUGGCGGCAGAGCGUGUACAUUAGGUCUCCGGAGGCGGGCUCCAGGCUGGUCCCAGACAGCUGCUGUAAAACCAUGACUCCCAGCUGUGGGCAGAGAGACCACCCCUCCAACAUCUACAGGGUGGAAGGUGGCUGCAUCACCAAGCUGGAGCGUUUCCUGGCCGAUCAUUUGCUAAUCAUUGGAGCUGUGGGGAUAGGUGUGGCCUGUUUACAGCUAGCCGGAGCAGUGCUGACUGCCUGCUUUAUCUAUCUGCUUUAUAAAGAAGAGGAAGAAGACUUCUAUGACGUGUGAUUGGCUGACUGACACUGUUUGGUUCCUGACUGAACAGCUAGAGAGGGGACAAGAUCUGUGGGAUGGUUUUCACUUGUUGCCUGCAUAGACGGAUCAGACUGGACCCGUACUGACCCGUUCCCAGCCCUGCUGCCUGCUGCUGGACCACACAUGCUUCAGCCUGGACUGACUAGACCGACAUGACGUGCUUAUUCCUCUCCUCUGCACUGUCCAGGGCUGCACGAACGCACCCCGCUGCUUGGACACAAGCCCUGCUCUGAUUAGAGACGUUUGUUUACCUUACCCUAGUGUUUUUUCCUCUUGUGUCCAAAUCCAAAGGACUGCUUGUCCUGCUGGUCUCCAGCCUUUGUUUGGUGAUUAAGGACAGUGUGUCGGAUGCAGUUUUUACUGCUGUGAAUGAAACAGUGGUGAUUACUGUGAACCACUUGUUUAUACAAGCUUUGAAGCCUCUUAUUUCACUGAUAUGGUUGUUGACAGCAUAAUGUCAAUUUGAUCGGAAUGUAGUAUGUACUGAAUAUAAAACAAUCUGUACUUGGCCUGGAUUUACAGUAUGCUAAAUGCAUCAUUUUUUUCUACUAUCAUUCGUAAGGGAAGUCUGUGCACCUUUGUCAGAUCCUUUUUGGAGACAUUUUUCUUCUUUAGGUUCAGUUUUUUUCACUGCUUUCUAUGUUCUAACUAAACUGUACUAACAGCUAGUCUAUAACUCUUAGAGAUGUACAGUACAUUGGCUGCUAGCUGUUGGAUAGAGAGACAUUUGUUUUCGUGAUUAACCAUUGUUCCAGCCAUAUGUCAAAUUCUAAAAUUUAGUAUAUUUAUAUUUGAUGUUUAUGAAGUAUUUUUAACAAAUAGAUUUGAGAUGUAGGCACUUAUCAAAAAAGCUGUUAAAACAUAUAUUUUCAACCAAGUACAAUAAUUGCCCAGCUGUUUGUGACAUAAUGUAAAUUCUACUGAAAUAUUCUUGGUUUUUAUGGCCAGUUAUUUUCCUAGGUCUAUUUUCCAGAACAUUCCAAACUAUCAGCCUGAGCAACUGUUUAUUUAUUAUGCUUUUAAAGUCAACUGUUUGUUCCUUAUCACAAUGCAACUGGGUUUAUCAGCAUUCUUCAGCCCAAUUUGAUUUACAGAGUGUGAUGUUUUUAGCUGUUUUGUGUUUGAAUAUGAGGUUCUCACCACUUAAACAUACUCUGUUUAUUGGGCACUGGUUGGGUUUCAUCAGCCCCUUUCUGUAGGAACCCCAUCACUCUGAGUGUUUUUAAGCUCUUGCUUAUCUGAUUCAUAUGGUCACUUAAUUAAAGCAUCUACAGUACAUGUAGUAGACACAUGCAGGUUCCUUGGGACCAAGCUUUGGAGACACCUGCACAGAUAGACACAUGAUUCCUGUUACAGACCCAGGCAGUAAUGAAUGUGAAAGUGUAAGGAGUGCUUCUGAUCCCUGCAAACCACCAAUCAGGAGAUUACCAGGGUAACCAUGGUAACAGUGAUCUGACAUACAUCUGUCAGAUUACUGUGGGAUUCAAAUUUACUGUAUGUGAAAUGACACAUUUGCAGCAUAUUGAUUGCAAGGGAUAUAAAUAUACAAUUUUUGAAUAUGCUCAUAGUCUGGAAUAACAUAUAUUGAUUGUUAUCUCUGACACACUUGAAUAUAAAGAGUUAUAUCAUUUAACACCCCUGUCUUUGCAGUGACAACUUUGCAUUGCGGUGCUUGUGUGUGUGAGUGUG